rnacentral:rRNA from 1 species
GGGUGAGUAAUGUCUGGGGAAACUGCCUGAUGGAGGGGGAUAACUACUGGAAACGGUAGCUAAUACCGCAUAACGUCUCAGACCAAAGUGGGGGACCUUCUGGCCUCAUGCCAUCAGAUGUGCCCAGAUGGGAUUAGCUUGUAGGUGAGGUAACGGCUCACCUAGGCGACGAUCCCUAGCUGGUCUGAGAGGAUGACCAGCCACACUGGAACUGAGACACGGUCCAGACUCCUACGGGAGGCAGCAGUGGGGAAUAUUGCACAAUGGGCGCAAGCCUGAUGCAGCCAUGCCGCGUGUAUGAAGAAGGCCUUCGGGUUGUAAAGUACUUUCAGCGAGGAGGAAGGCAUUAAGGUUAAUAACCUUGUUGAUUGACGUUACUCGCAGAAGAAGCACCGGCUAACUCCGUGCCAGCAGCCGCGGUAAUACGGAGGGUGCAAGCGUUAAUCGGAAUUACUGGGCGUAAAGCGCACGCAGGCGGUCUGUUAAGUCAGAUGUGAAAUCCCCGGGCUCAACCUGGGAACUGCAUUUGAAACUGGCAGGCUUGAGUCUUGUAGAGGGGGGUAGAAUUCCAGGUGUAGCGGUGAAAUGCGUAGAGAUCUGGAGGAAUACCGGUGGCGAAGGCGGCCCCCUGGACAAAGA